AUAAAAAAUAAUAAAAAAGAAAAACAGAGAAGCAGAUGGAGGGAUUUCAAGACUGUAGUAGAGAUAUUUUUGUUGUGUGGGUGUUAGCAUCGUAAAAAUUUGAUCUUUCUCGUCACUCUCAUUUAUACAUUUGCUGUAGCUCUUUCUUUCCCAGUUUCUGUUAUGAAAUCAGAAAUCAGUUAAAUUUCCAGCAAAUAAACAACAAUGUCAAAAGCUUUUUUUGCCUUCAACACUAGUCUUCCGCCAUGGAAUUCCUCUGAGCCACCACUAAUCCCCUCUCAUUCCCAAUUCCACUUCAAACCCACUACCCGCCGUCACCUAAUCACCUCAAUUUCCAUCCUAUUAACUCCAUUUUUGGCUUCUCCAAACCUCAAUGACCCAUUUAGCCCCUUUCCCUUACCAGUGUCCCAUGCUCGUGGGCUUUUUCAAAUGCCCCCUUUUCGCCUCACUAACCGGUACUUUUUGGUGAGAGCAGGGGAAUCGGAAUAUGAGAGUCUGGGGGUGAUUAAUACUAACCCAGUAGCCAAAACCUCGGUAGAUAAUGGGCUGUCUGAGAAAGGGAAGAAACAGACAGUUAGGGCGGCGUUUGAUUUGAAGGAAAUGAGGGCUUGUGAAGGGAAUUGUUGGAUUUGGCCUUCAAUCACUCAGAGAGCUUAUCAGGCUGCUGAGGUAAUCGCUGCUGUUAAUGGUGUUAAUCGAAGCCAUAUAGUCCCUGAAUAUAGUUUUUUGGAUGCUCGUGGACUGGGAGCAUAUGAGGGGAAAAGUUUGGAUACUUUAUCUGAAGUGUAUGAAUCAGAUGGUGUUUCUCCGAAUAUAAAGCCACCCCCUAUUGAUGAUGGGACACCUAAUGAGAGUGUUUCGGAUGUCUUUGUUCGUGUAACACAACUUAUGUCGAUUCUUGAAACUCAAUACUCUGAAGACACAGUCAUCAUAGUCUCACCAGAUUCUGACAACUUAACAGUUCUGCAAGCUGGUUUAACAGGGCUUGAUCUUCGAAGGCACAGGGAUCUUUCUUUUGGACCAGGUGAAGUUAGAUUUGUUGACGCUAGCAGCAUACCUACCUAUAAGCAACCGGCAUCCACAGUUUAUAAAUGCUUAAACCCCCCUAGCUGUACAUGACAUUAUACUCCUAAGCUUGGAUUUCACCAACAAGAAUGCAGCUGAAGCUUUAAUUGAAAAGUUCUUUGUAGAGUUGCUGCUAAUUGCUAUAGUAGAAUUUUCCACUGAAACAUGUAAAUCAGGAUCAUUUCUUAUCAUUGUUGGUGAAGAUGGGCUGAGGCUGCUGUAUAGUUUUUCUUCACCAAGCUUAAAAGCUUCAUGGGAUCAUAAUAUUUUCUGUUGGAACAAGUGACCAUAGUGUAUCCAGGACCAUGUCAAUUUGAAUGUCUUAUUGUUGCCAAAUGUGCUUGAGAUGUUUUUUGAAUUUUAGACACAAGAUGAUCCGAUCGUAUCAAUUUCUUUUUA